UACGGGGGGAGCAAGCGUUGUUCGGAUUUACUGGGCGUAAAGAGCUCGUAGGCGGUCUGUCGCGUCGAUCGUGAAAACUUGGGGCUUAACCCUGAGCUUGCGGUCGAUACGGGCAUGACUGGAGUUCGGUAGGGGAGACUGGAAUUCCUGGUGUAGCGGUGAAAUGCGCAGAUAUCAGGAGGAACACCGGUGGCGAAGGCGGGUCUCUGGGCCGAAACUGACGCUGAGGAGCGAAAGCGUGGGGAGCGAACAGG
rnacentral:rRNA from 1 species